AACGUAGGACGCGAGCGUUAUCCGGAGUUACUGGGCGUAAAGCGCGGGCAGGCGGUCUGACAAGUCUGAUGUGAAAUCACCCAGCUUAACUGGGCGAGGCCAUUGGAAACUGACAGGCUGGAGGGCAGUAGAGGUAGGCGGAAUUCCGGGUGGAGUGGUGAAAUGCGUAGAUAUCAAGAGGAACACCUGCGGCGAAGGCGGGUUGCUGGGCUGACACUGACGCUGAGGCGCGAAAGCUAGGGGAGCAAACGGG
rnacentral:rRNA from 1 species